rnacentral:rRNA from 1 species
UACAGAGGGGGCAAGCGUUAUUCGGAAUUAUUGGGCGUAAAGGGCGCGUAGGCGGCUUGGUCAGUCCCGUGUGAAAUCCCUCGGCUCAACUGAGGAACUGCACGGGAAACUGCCUGGCUUGAGUUCGGGAGAGGGAAGCGGAAUUCCGGGUGUAGCGGUGAAAUGCGUAGAUAUCCGGAGGAACACCGGUGGCGAAGGCGGCUUCCUGGACCGACACUGACGCUGAGGCGCGAAAGCUAGGGGAGCAAACGGG